GUGCUUGCACUUCUGACGUUAGCGGCGAACGGGUGAGUAACACGUAAGGAAUCUACCUAUAAGCGGGGGAUAACAUUCGGAAACGGGUGCUAAUACCGCAUAAUAUCUUCUUCCGCAUGGAAGAAGAUUGAAAGACGGCUCUGCUGUCACUUAUAGAUGACCUUGCGGUGCAUUAGUUAGUUGGUGGGGUAAAGGCCUACCAAGACGAUGAUGCAUAGCCGACCUGAGAGGGUGAUCGGCCACAUUGGGACUGAGACACGGCCCAAACUCCUACGGGAGGCAGCAGUAGGGAAUCUUCCGCAAUGGGCGAAAGCCUGACGGAGCAAUGCCGCGUGAGUGAAGAAGGCCUUCGGGUCGUAAAACUCUGUUAUAAGAGAAGAACAAAUUGUAGAGUAACUGCUACAGUCUUGACGGUAUCUUAUCAGAAAGCCACGGCUAACUACGUGCCAGCAGCCGCGGUAAUACGUAGGUGGCAAGCGUUGUCCGGAUUUAUUGGGCGUAAAGGGAGCGCAGGUGGUUUCUUAAGUCUGAUGUGAAAGCCCACGGCUUAACCGUGGAGGGUCAUUGGAAACUGGGAAACUUGAGUACAGAAGAGGAAUGUGGAACUCCAUGUGUAGCGGUGGAAUGCGUAGAUAUAUGGAAGAACACCAGUGGCGAAGGCGACAUUCUGGUCUGUUACUGACACUGAGGCUCG
rnacentral:rRNA from 1 species